UACGUAGGGGGCAAGCGUUGUCCGGAUUUAUUGGGCGUAAAGAGCGUGUAGGCGGUUUGGUAGGUCCGUUGUGAAAACUCGAGGCUCAACCUCGAGACGCCGAUGGAAACCAUCAGACUAGAGUCCGGAAGAGGAGAGUGGAAUUCCUGGUGUAGCGGUGAAAUGCGCAGAUAUCAGGAGGAACACCGAUGGCGAAGGCAGAUCUCUGGGCCGAUAACUGACGCUGAGGAGCGAAAGCAUGGGAGCGAACAGG
rnacentral:rRNA from 1 species